rnacentral:rRNA from 1 species
UGCAGUCGAGCGGCAACGCGGGAGCGAUCCUGGCGGCGAGCGGCGAACGGGUGAGUAAUGCUUCGGACUCUGCCCUUCAGUGGGGAAUAACCAGUCGAAAGACUGGCUAAUACCGCAAACGAACUGAGGUUGAAAGCAGGGGAUCGCAAGACCUUGCGCUGAUGGAUGAGCCGAAGUCGGAUUAGCUAGUUGGUAGGGUAACGGCCUACCAAGGCGACUAUCCGUAGCUGGUCUGAAAAGACGACCAGCCCCCCUGGGACUGACACCCGGCCCAAACCCCUACGGGAGGCAGCAGUGGGGAAUAUUGGACAAUGGGGGCAACCCUGAUCCAGCGACGCCGCGUGUGUGAAGAAGGCCUGCGGGUUGUAAAGCACUUUUAGUGGGGAGGAAGGUCUGCGACCUAACCCGUCGUGGAAUUGACUUAACCCACAGAAAAAGCACCGGCUAACUCUGUGCCAGCAGCCGCGGU